rnacentral:rRNA from 1 species
AGCGAACGCUGGCGGCAGGCUUAACACAUGCAAGUCGAACGAGAAACCACCUUCGGGUGGCGGAAAGUGGCGAACGAGUGAGUAACGCGUGGGAAUUUGCCCCUGACUAAGGGAUAGCCACUGGAAACGGUGAUUAAUACCUUAUAAUCCCAACAACUUGGCGUUGUUGGGCAAAGAUUUAUCGGUCAGGGAGAAGCCCGCGUUAGAUUAGUUUGUUGGUAGGGUAAUGGCCUACCAAGACGAUGAUCUAUAGCUGGUCUGAGAGGAUGAUCAGCCACGCUGGGACUGAGACACGGCCCAGACUCCUACGGGAGGCAGCAGUGGGGAAUAUUGGACAAUGGGCGCAAGCCUGAUCCAGCCAUGCCGCGUGUGUGAUAAAGGCCUUAGGGUUGUAAAGCACUUUCGCGUAUGAAGAUAAUGACGGUAAUACGUAAAGAAGCACCGGCUAACUCCG